GUCCGUCCUCUCUGUGGAUAGGUGCUGAAGCAUGGAUGGAUGGUGAAGAUGGGGUUGGAAGGUGGACUUGAUUCCUGUGAUUACCAGUGCUGAUGUUUGUUUAUCGUCGUCCUCGGCAGUGCAGUGCAGUGCAUCAUCUGGACUAGCCGAAGACCGAUUUCGACCGCCCUCUAGUUGAUUUCACAUUUUGUUAAUUAUUAAUGUAAUCCUUCGUAAGGAUGAUGAUCGAUCCCCCACAGCAUAUUUUGUACCUUAGCUGCUUAAAUCCCUGUUCGUCCAAUGGCGAUGAACGAACUCCCAAUGUAUUUGUGUAAUCCUUUGCUAUUAUCAAGUAAAUGAUGUUUAUCUAUAUUUACUAUCAGUAAAGUAAUAUUCCC
rnacentral:lncRNA from 1 species